UCCGCCCGUCGUUGCCCGGCCAACCGCUCCCGCACCCGCCUCCCUCUCCUUUACGGCCCCGCCGCUCCCGCACCCGCCGCUAAGCCCCGCCUCCAACCCCUCCGCACCUUGAAGCCGGCCAGCCGCUCGGUCGAAGGCGACUACCCUGCACGCUCGCGUGCCAUGCGGUGCCGGAGGAAGGGGCCGCAUCCUGUGCGGCCGGCUCACCCGUCCGCCGCGCUCCGCCGUCCUCCUCGGUUGCCCCGGCACGCGCCUCCCCCGGCGCUCCUAGCUCCUCUUUCGCCUCUUGCUGGCCAACAGCCACCGUCACGCCCAUUCCCCUCCUCCCAGUAGUCACGAGCGCGCCUUCCCCUCCCCCUCCUCAUCUCAGUCUCUUGCAAGCCAGCGCCAUCGGCCUACUCUGUGGCACGAGACGCCGCCCGCCCAAUGCCAGCGGGGGAUGCCAUCCACUCCCUCCACCUCCUGGCCACGUCUGUCGCCUGCCCAGCACCACCCACCUGUCGUCUUCAACGAUCCAGCGUCCCUACCCCGAUGCGUAGCACUUGUGUAGCCUGUACAGCGGGUGGCCAUAUGUGCUUUCAGUGGCAACACUUCCGAGCCAGCUACUGAAGACGAUCAGGAAAUCAGAUCGAGGCUAUAUUCAGUUCAUGAACUGCUGCAACAAAUAUAUCUCAGGUUAAUGGCCUUCUUUCUCGAUUGAAGGAGAGGAUGAUAACUACCGGGAAGCACAUGAUGUUCUUCAUGAAUUCGACAAUAAUUUACGCUUCUCCUAAUGGUUCAGCCAAUUAAGAAGAGAAAAGAGGGCGGAGAAAAAUGUACGGCACAAGAAGAGAUGACUUUAGAAGCAGCGUAAACAGAUCAUGAUCAUGACAAAUCCCGAAACAUGUACCGGUAAGAGAGAAGGAAGUGAAGAAAAAGACAUUUGUGAGGAUCCUACAUUUUUAUUUUACUCACAGAGAUGGCAAUUGCUCCUUACCUAAAUAGUGGAGUUAGCAGCUACUUCUUUUCACAUUUGCCGACCCAUUAUAUGGAUCUGCAUCAUAUACAUGUGCAGAUAAAUAAUUAUCAGCCUGCUAGAUGAUAUGAAUUACAUCUUCAAUUCAUUGAUGGGGCAUCAUUUUUGUCCAUACUUUGUAUGACUUGACUGUACAAUCAUGAUGAUUUGUUCGCAACCUAUCUAAAAUAUAUCGUAUUAAAGAGUCCAUUUCUAACUCUAAUUUCAAAAAUAAUUUUGCAAUAUAUUUUUGUUUAUGCCAAACGGAAACCGACAAAAAAAAAUGAAAGAUUGGUUGUAGUUAAAGCGGAGCAUAUUCGGUAAGUCUCCUAGGAAGUUCUCUUAUGUUCCUUUGAUAUUUUAUAGCUACUGGUCGCAUGGCGGGUGAUAGCUCUCAGGUGUACUGUGGACUACUGUUGAUGGCUAUCCUUGCCUUUCUUCAGGGUUCUGUAUUGAGAUUGAUAUGUAACUAUUCCAUCUUCUAUUAUAAACAUUGUUUUUUUUAAAUCCAAUGAGCAUUCAUGUAGAACAGUGUCCACUCACAUCAAUGGAGUAAAUUAUGUGAGAUAAGCAUGAUCAAUAACAUGAAUUAUGUAGAACAGUAACAUGAAUUCAUGAUCAAUAUAUUCCUGAGGAGUUGCAAGUUUUCGUCGCCACAAAGGCAAUUAAUGGUUUUAUAACUUCAGGUAUGAGACGACUAAGACAAUUCUCAGUUUUCAUCUUAAUUGUAGUUGAUGGGUACCACGUAUUUGUUUGGACAGAUGGUGACACUUUUCUACUUUUUACACUACACUCAUACUCUCAUAUAUGGACUUGGAGAAUAUUUGCCUGGUGAAAAUGUGCCUUUGGGUGUAGUCAAUUUUACUUGAUAUGAGUUCUUGUUAUGGUACAAUAAUUUUUUAUUGUAACUUCUACCGAUCCUUGACAAUUGCAGAAUGUUUCCUCCGGCAAAGCCUUGAUAUAUUUCACAUUAGCGCAAAGUAAUUGUUGGCAACGCAGUAGACCAACAUCCGGUUAGUGACAUCCCUUAUUUGGUUAUUGUUGUUGGACAAUUUUUCUUAUUUAGUUAGGAUGCUCAUGCUUACAGUUAGGUGGCAGCAAAGAUUUUUUAGUUCCGAUUAAUUAUAAGCUAUCACAUUGUGUCCCUGUUAGACUACUAAUGCAUGUGCUGAAUGGAGGCAUCUUUUUACCAUUCACAUAUUAAGCUCGGUCAUACGUAUACCUCACUCCGUUUGUGAUUUUUUACCAUGCCUCUAUAAUCCUUGGAGAUUACGUACUUCACAAUCUUAACUCCAUUUAUUUAGCGAUUUUUCUAAACUUCUCAUCUGUGUCAGGUUAUUCAUUUUGUGUACCUCAUUUAGCAGUUAGAGUCCAUAUUGCUCUCCAUGUUCAGUACUCUGACCAGAACAAUGAUGUGGUUUUAGGCUCGCACAUGGCAAUUUCCCAAUAGAAGUUUGAUGUGUUUUUCUUUAUUUUUCUGUUUUGUAAUUCAGUUUUGGUAUGCUCUCUGAACCUGGCAAUAGUUUUCUUAUGGAGAUGGUACUUGAGAAUAGAUUAGUACAUUGAAGCCUUGGGUUGCAGGCCAACGACUUCUGGCAGUGCAACUAUAUGCUGCCUGUCGGCUCCGGCGGCGGCAGGUCAUGUUUGGCAUCACCAGGACCUUUGUUAGCCUAUCCUAGAGGGCAGUCCGUGGUAGAUGUGGUGAGGGUGCGUGCGGCGGAGCAGAUGGGUAAUUUGAUUUUCAGUUCAAAAUCAAUAAAAACAGGUUGCUUUCUUCGGCUACCUAAAGGAGCUCACUGAUAUUGUGGCAAUAAUCUAGGAGCACCAUCAGUCAUGUUGAUUGAGUAUAGUAUGCAGCAACACAGACUAUGCUAGGUGUUAUGGAAGGUAGGAGGAAAUAAUGGUAGCAAGUUGGGGGGUAUGAAUGAUAGACACCAAGGGAGAUGACGCGACAAGGGAAGGAGAAAGAUGGGGGAUGAGGAAGGAGGGAGGCGAUGAAGCUGGGAGAAAGGAGGGAGACACCAAAGGAGUUGGCAAAGGGUGAAAGAGAUUUUGCGCCACAAGGUUAGAUCGUGAUCAUGUUGCAACUGUUCCCUUUCCAUCAAUGCUCAUGUUCAAUGUAUUUUUUUGAAGUCCACAACUUUGGCAGCUCCACACAAUUGUUGGAGAGGAAGAUGGUAAAAUCAUUUAGGAUGAUUGUUGGGACUAUUGUGAAGCUCAAUAUUUAGUGGAGUAGUCUGGUGACAAAUAGGACAAGCCAUUAUACAUGAGUAACAGAUAAAUUUGUACAAUCACUUCCAUUUUUUUGUAGGAAGAUGGGAUGUAAUAGAUUAGGUAAAGAAAAUGUGCUUCAUGUGGACCUUCAGGUGAAGGAGAAAUUACAUCAUUGUGAUAUCAACUAAUUCUUCAUUCAUUGUUUGAUCAA